UGGGGAAUAUUGCACAAUGGGCGCAAGCCUUAUGCAGCCAUGCCGCGUGUAUGAAGAAGGCCUUCGGGUUGUAAAGUACUUUCAGUCGGGAGGAAGGUGGUAAGGUUAAUAACCUUAUCAAUUGACGUUACCGACAGAAGAAGCACCGGCUAACUCCGUGCCAGCAGCCGCGGUAAUACGGAGGGUGCAAGCGUUAAUCGGAAUUACUGGGCGUAAAGCACACGCAGGCGGUUGAUUGAGUCAGAUGUGAAAUCCCCGGGCUUAACCCGGGAAUUGCAUCUGAUACUGGUCAGCUAGAGUCUUGUAGAGGGGGGUAGAAUUCCAUGUGUAGCGGUGAAAUGCGUAGAGAUGUGGAGGAAUACCGGUGGCGAAGGCGGCCCCCUGGACAAAGACUGACGCUCAGGUGCGAAAGCGUGGGGAGCAAACAGG
rnacentral:rRNA from 1 species